GGUGGGCAUGCGCGCAGCCUGAUGCAGCGACGCCGCGUGAGGGAUGAAGGGCCUUUCGGGUUUGUAAACCUCUUCAUCAGGGACGAAGCUCAUCUGACUAAAUACCCCAGAAGAUUGACCGUCCCCCUACAUAAACCCCCCCCCAACUAUAUGCCCGCACCCCCCGUUAUACUAAUGUGGCAAGCGUUAUCCGAAAUUAUUGGGCUUAACACGUCUGUAGUCCGUUCUCUAAGCUCAAUGUGAAAACCCCAGGCUAAACCCGGGAACUCCAUUUAAAACUGGGGGACUUGAAUUCCGGGAAGGGAAGUGGGAAUUCCCGGUUUAACGGUGAAAUUCCCAAAAAUAAGGAGGAACCCCGGGGGCGAAGGGGCGCUCCUGGACCAUAACGGGCGCUGAAGAC
rnacentral:rRNA from 1 species